CUGCAGCAGAGGGGGAAGGAGGUGGUUCAGUUGAAGACUGAGCUGCACAGCACUCGCAAAGAAAUGAAGGAGUUGCUUGAGGAUGUGCAGAAUAUGCUGGAAGAGGAGGAGAGAACAAAGCCACAUGGAACCAUAUCACGCUGCUUGAUCACCAGUUUAAGAAACUGCUCGCCCUGUACACAGAUGCAGCAGGACAGGAGGAGGGGGCAGUAUUGUUACCAGUAUCCAGUCAGAGGACCACAGAAGAGCAACUGAGUGAGCAGCAAGAAAGACAGAGCACUUACUAACUGAGCUACAAUGAGGCAGCGGGACGCCUUGGUGUGUAAGCUGACAGAGGAGCUGGAGCAGGAACAUGGGCGCUAUGAAGAAAAGGAGCGUCAACUGAGCAAACUCGAGCUCCACAUGGUCGACGUGGAGAAGGAGGUGGACGGCCUAAGAAUCAAACACUCUAAUGGCAAGGGG